GCCGUGCUCGACCAUGACUAGCUCUCUACAAUUUUAUUAUUCUCUCUCCACAUAAAUGACCGGCACUGCUGAUGUCCCGAAUAAUGUUGUCCGUGUGGGCCUCUAGAAAGUGAACGCUAUCUCUGCUGAAAAGGCGAAGCUUCGUCUGCAAGAGGGUAUUCUACAGCUGACAAUUGCUGCGCUGAAUCUCGCUAUCAGCUCCGCUGUUAGUCUCGCGCAGAUGCUCGGUGACCAGAGCAUGGUGGAGAUCACGAGUAUCUACACCCAGCGCGGGUCUAUCUCUGUUGAUGAGCAGAGGAGCGGGGUCUGUGACCAGAUUGAGGUUGAAGACCCCUGAUGUCGACGCUAUUUACGCGGAGCAGACCCGAGCGAGUACUGAGCGGCGGGCUGCCCGCGAGGCGGCGAUGGCUGAAACCGCGGAGGCGGGUGAGGCUUCAGGGCCUGAGGAAGCAGAUAAGGCUGAGGAGUUAGAUGGAGCACCUUUUACUCCUUUUUUGAUUUUGCUUUCCUGUUUAUAAGUUGUCCCUUUUUCACGGGGUGUGUAUGAGCGACGGAAACGACUAUUACAUGUUUCUGUACCGUAUAUUGGCAACUACAAUAUUUCUCGAAAAAACUGUUUUCUCGCAUUCUAAAUUUGCCCCCGAUUUUUCUAAUAGAUUUUUUUUUUAGCGUUACAACUACCAUCAUGCUCCGAGAAAAGGGACUCUCCGCUCGCUGCGCGGCUUCCCCUUUACGGUAUGUACAUUUUCUCAAAUCAACAGAAAAAAGCGAACAAGGGCAAAUGAUAUUUCUAUGGAGCUGAAUGCACCCCUCCUCAGGGGAAAAAAAAUACAGCAAAUUUACCGCGGCACUGAGAAAGUCCUGUGCUGACCUACUGAGUGUUAUCUCGCAGUUCUAGAUUGCCACUGGAGAUCUUGUUUCGCUAAAGUAUUCCUCAUAACAGAGGACACCGACGUGGUAUAAGGGUCAAAUACCCACAGCGUGGGGGAAGUCAGAGC
rnacentral:misc_RNA from 1 species